AACGAACGCUGGCGGCAUGCCUAACACAUGCAAGUCGAACGAUUGCCUUCGGGUGAUAGUGGCGCACGGGUGCGUAACGCGUGGGAAUCUGCCCUUAGGUUCGGAAUAACAGCUGGAAACGGCUGCUAAUACCGGAUGAUAUCACGAGAUCAAAGAUUUAUCGCCUGAGGAUGAGCCCGCGUUGGAUUAGGUAGUUGGUGGGGUAAAGGCCUACCAAGCCGACGAUCCAUAGCUGGUCUGAGAGGAUGAUCAGCCACACUGGGACUGAGACACGGCCCAGACUCCUACGGGAGGCAGCAGUGGGGAAUAUUGGACAAUGGGCGCAAGCCUGAUCCAGCAAUGCCGCGUGAGUGAUGAAGGCCCUAGGGUUGUAAAGCUCUUUUACCCGGGAAGAUAAUGACUGUACCGGGAGAAUAAGCCCCGGCUAACUCCGUG
rnacentral:rRNA from 1 species